GUCAGGAUAGGCAAUUUUGUUUUUAAUAAUGGACAUGGCAUCUGCCCGGUAAGCGGAAGGUUGUGGGUUCGAUUCCCGCCCCUGGACA